rfam:Schistosoma mansoni, Puerto Rico, WGS project CABG01000000 data, contig: 0166
AUCCAGCUGACGAGUCCCAAGUAGGACGAAACGCGCAUCCUGGAU